UAUCAACUGUUUUAAAAGUAUGGUUCUGCUAUCACUCUUGGAGUGGACCUGCGGUGCAUUAGCUAGUUGGUAGGGGUAACGGCCUACCAAGGCGAUGAUGCAUAGCCCGAGUUGAGAGACUGAUCGGCCACAUUGGGACUGAGACACGGCCCAAACUCCUACGGGAGGCAGCAGUAGGGAAUCUUCCACAAUGGACGCAAGUCUGAUGGAGCAACGCCGCGUGAGUGAAGAAGGGUUUCGGCUCGUAAAGCUCUGUUGUUGGUGAAGAAGGACAGGGGGUAGUAACUGACCUUUGUUUGACGGUAAUCAAUUAGAAAGUCACGGCUAACUACGUGCCAGCAGCCGCGGUAAU
rnacentral:rRNA from 1 species